UACGUAGGGGGCUAGCGUUAUCCGGAAUUACUGGGCGUAAAGCGCGCGUAGGUGGUUCGUUAAGUUAGGAGUGAAAGCCCCGGGCUCAACCUGGGAAUUGCUUCUAAAACUGGCGAGCUAGAGUAUGGUAGAGGGUGGUGGAAUUUCCUGUGUAGCGGUGAAAUGCGUAGAGAUAUGGAGGAACACCAGUGGCGAAGGCGGCUUCCUGGUCUGUAACUGACACUGAGGCGCGAAAGCGUGGGGAGCAAACAGGAUUAGAUACCCUGGUAGUCCCUGAG
rnacentral:rRNA from 1 species